rnacentral:rRNA from 1 species
CCGAAGGUGGGGCAAGUGAUUGGGGUGAAGUCGUAACAAGGUAGCCGUACCGGAAGGUGCGGCUGGAUCACCUCCUUUCUAAGGA